rnacentral:rRNA from 1 species
GAUGAACGCUAGCGGCAGGCUUAAUACAUGCAAGUCGAGGGGCAGCAGGGGUAGCAAUACCCGCUGGCGACCGGCAAACGGGUGCGGAACACGUACGCAACCUUCCUUUAAGCGGGGAAUAGCCCAGAGAAAUUUGGAUUAAUACCCCAUAAGAUAGCACAGAAGCAUUUCUGAGCUAUUAAAGAUUUAUCACUUAGAGAUGGGCGUGCGGCUGUAUUAGGUAGUUGGCGAGGGUAACGGCCUACCAAGCCUACCGAUCAGUAGCUGAUGUGAGAGCAUGAUCAGCCACACGGGCACUGAGACA